CCUCAGAAGAUUUUUCUGCACCUGCCAACAAAAUUUGGUGAUUCUUACCCACCAGAGCUCCAUGAUGGACUGGAGGAAACAAAGUGGUGGCAGCCUCUGUUCCCCUUUCUCAGUGAUGUAAUUACUGUUUCAACAACCACAGUACAGGUACUGGAGAGCAGACUACAAGACUGGCAGAAAGCCCAUCUGUGGCAUUGCAGCUUGAUUUCUGCAGAGCCUAACCCCAUCGGAAGCCUCCUGCCCAUAUUUGGAUAUGAAACAAAGG